rnacentral:rRNA from 1 species
CAGGCGGUGACUUAAGUCUGAUGUGAAAGCCCACGGCUCAACCGUGGAAGGUCAUUGGAAACUGGGUCACUUGAAUAUAGAAGAGGAAAGUGGAAUUCCAUGUGUAGCGGUGAAAUGCGUAGAUAUAUGGAGGAACACCAGUGGCGAAGGCGACUUUCUGGUCUAUUAUUGACGCUGAGGCUCGAAAGCAUGGGUAGCAAACAGGAUUAGAUACCCUGGUAGUCCAUGCCGUAAACGAUGAGUGCUAGGUGUUGGGGGGCUUCCACCCCUCGGUGCCGGCGUUAACGCAUUAAGCACUCCGCCUGGGGAGUACGGCCGCAAGGCUUAAACUCAAAGGAAUUGACGGGGACCCGCACAAGCGGUGGAGCAUGUGGUUUAAUUCAAAGCAACGCGAAGAACCUUACCAGCUCUUGACAUCUUCUGAAAGCUCUAGAGAUAGAGUGUUCCCUUCGGGGACAGAAUGACAGGUGGUGCAUGGUUGUCGUCAGCUCGUGUCGUGAGAUGUUGGGUUAAGUCCCGUAACGAGCGCAACCCUUGUUGUCAGUUGCCAGCAUUUAGUUGGGCACUCUGGCGAGACUGCCGGUGACAAACCGGAGGAAGGUGGGGAUGACGUCAAAUCAGCAUGCCCCUUAUGAGCUGGGCUACACACGUGCUACAAUGGAUGGUACAGCGAGUCGCUAAACCGCGAGGUCAAGCAAAUCUCCUAAAGCCAUUCUCAGUCCGGAUUGCAGGCUGCAACUCGCCUGCAUGAAGCCGGAAUCGCUA